AGCAGUCGCCGCGGUAAUACGUAGGUGGCAAGCGUUGUCCGGAAUUAUUGGGCGUAAAGGGCUCGCAGGCGGUUUCUUAAGUCUGAUGUGAAAGCCCCCGGCUCAACCGGGGAGGGUCAUUGGAAACUGGGAAACUUGAGUGCAGAAGAGGAGAGUGGAAUUCCACGUGUAGCGGUGAAAUGCGUAGAGAUGUGGAGGAACACCAGUGGCGAAGGCGACUCUCUGGUCUGUAACUGACGCUGAGGAGCGAAAGCGUGGGGAGCGAACAGGAUUAGAUACCCCAGUAGUCCCUGUCUCUUAUAA
rnacentral:rRNA from 1 species